CGAUACUUGGUGUGAAUUGCAGAAUUCAGUGAAUCAUCGAAUCUUUGAACGCACAUUGCGCCCCUUGGUAUUCCUUGGGGCAUGCCUGUUCGAGCGUCAUUUGUACUCUUCAAGCUUUGCUUGGUGUUGGGUGUUUGUCUCGCCUCUGCGCGCAGACUCGCCUCAAAACAAUUGGCAGCCGGCGUAUUGAUUUCGGAGCGCUUGCUACUUCUCUCGCUUUGCACUCAUAACGACGACGUCCAAAAAGUACAUUUUUUACACUCUUGACCUCGGAUCAGGUAGGGAUACCCGCUGAACUUAAGCAUAUCAAUAAGCGGAGGA
rnacentral:rRNA from 1 species